UACGUAGGGUGCAAGCGUUGUCCGGAAUUAUUGGGCGUAAAGAGCUCGUAGGCGGUCUGUCGCGUCUGCUGUGAAAACCUAGGGCUUAACUCUGGGCGUGCAGUGGGUACGGGCAGGCUAGAGUGCGGUAGGGGAGACUGGAAUUCCUGGUGUAGCGGUGAAAUGCGCAGAUAUCAGGAGGAACACCGAUGGCGAAGGCAGGUCUCUGGGCCACUACUGACGCUGAGAAGCGAAAAGCAUGGGGAGCGAACAGG
rnacentral:rRNA from 1 species